rnacentral:rRNA from 1 species
AUCAUGGCCCUUACGAGUAGGGCUACACACGUGCUACAAUGGCGUAUACAGAGGGAAGCGAAGCUGCGAGGUGGAGCGAAUCUCAUAAAGUACGUCUAAGUCCGGAUUGGAGUCUGCAACUCGACUCCAUGAAGUCGGAAUCGCUAGUAAUCGCGAAUCAGAAUGUUGCGGUGAAUACGUUCCCGGGCCUUGUACACACCGCCCGUCACACCAUGGGAGUGGGUUGUACCAGAAGUAGAUAGCUUAACCUUUAGGAGGGCGUUUACCACGGUAUGAUUCAUGACUGGGGUGAAGUCGUAACAAGGUAACCGUAGGGGAACCUGCGGUUGGAUCACCUCCUUACCAAAGA